rnacentral:rRNA from 1 species
UACGUAGGGUGCAAGCGUUAAUCGGAAUUACUGGGCGUAAAGCGUGCGUAGGCGGCUAUGUAAGACAGGUGUGAAAUCCCCGGGCUUAACCUGGGAACUGCAUUUGUGACUGCAUUGCUGGAGUGCGGCAGAGGGGGAUGGAAUUCCGCGUGUAGCAGUGAAAUGCGUAGAUAUGCGGAGGAACACCGAUGGCGAAGGCAAUCCCCUGGGCCUGCACUGACGCUCAUGCACGAAAGCGUGGGGAGCAAACAGG